AAAAACAUGGCCCUGCCUAGCAACCAUCGUUCGUGUUCCACCCUCGAAGAGAAGACUUCGGGAACCAGUGGAGCCGGCUGGCGGACCUUCGGCUCUCUAGCAUUUAGCUUUCUCUCCCGGAUUCGAAGGGUGGUCUACUUAGGGCUGCGGUUGCUUGGGUCGUCGCGUUGUUGUGGAUAUCGCACCCGUCAGUUGUUAGUGCUUGCUUAUCAAAUAAACUACGUUCGCUCAGGAUAUCCGCAUCGGGAGCAGCCAUAAAUCCCAUAUAAUUCGGAAUCACACCUUAAAUCAAGCUGUUUCGGAUACAAAUGCACUUGCAUUUAAGUUGCAUCCGGAGAAUGUGUGAAGAGCUGCCCCCAUCCGCUUAAGCAUGAAUCGCUACAUCACGCUGACCCAAUUGGGCGAUGGAACCUACGGCACCGUGGUCCUGGGACAGCGCAAGGACACCGGCGAGAAGGUGGCCAUCAAGCGCAUGAAGCGCAAGUACUACUCCUGGGAGGAGGCCAUGAAUCUGCGUGAGGUCAAGUCCCUGAAAAAACUGUCGCAUCCGAAUAUCGUCAAGCUGAAAGAGGUGAUUCGGGAGAACGACACCCUGUACUUUGUGUUCGAGUACAUGAAGGAGAACCUCUACCAGAUGAUCAAGGAUAGGGACACACAUCUACCCGAGCCGGAGCUAAAGAGCAUUCUCUUCCAGGUUUUAACUGGCCUGGCCUUCAUGCAUCGCCACGGCUUUUUCCAUCGCGACCUGAAGCCGGAGAACCUGCUCUGCUCCGGGCCGGAGCUCAUCAAGAUAGCCGACUUCGGGCUGGCCAGGGAGAUCCGAUCGCGGCCUCCGUUCACGGACUACGUCUCCACACGUUGGUACCGGGCACCAGAGGUACUCCUGCACUCCACCAACUAUGGCAGCACCAUCGACCUCUGGGCCAUGGGCUGCAUCAUGGCCGAGCUCUACACCUUUCGUCCCCUCUUCCCGGGCAGCAGCGAGGUGGACCAGCUCUUCAAGAUCUGCUCCGUGCUGGGAACGCCAGAGAAGAGUGAUUGGCCGGAUGGAUAUCGGCUGGCCAGCAUGAUCCACUUCCGCUACCCGGACUGCAUCAAAGUGCCACUAAGCAGCGUCGUCAGCCGCUGCAGCCAAAAUGGAUUGGACCUGCUGGAGGACAUGCUGGCCUACGAUCCCGACAAGCGUCCGACGGCCCAGCAGAGUCUCAAGUACCCGUAUUUCCAUGCCCUCAAAAGGAUCUCGCCCACGGCGGCCACCAAGGCAAAUGUGCGGCUGAGCUCCAAGUAUGCGGCGUCCAAUGGACAGAGUGUCUCCAACAAUGUGCUUCCGGUGCAGGAGAAGCUGCAGGCGGUCACGGAGCUGCUCCACCAGAACAACAACAACAACGGUAGCCACUCCAAUCUUGGCAAGAACAAUAACUUGACGAGCACCAAAAAUGGAAUGGGAAUGCCCAGGAAGUACCAGCCCAAGCUGAGCUUCCUGACCAGCAAUGAGUUGGUGGGUGCGGGCUCUCAGGCGGAUUCCUCCAGUCUGGGUGGAGCCACAGUGGAUGGUGUGCAGAUGCCACAGCUCCAAAACGGAGGAGGAGGUGGGGAGUCCAUCAACGACAUCUACCUGAACCGCAACAUCUCGCAGCUCUUCGGAUUGCCAGCGGGAUCGCAGCUCCACCAGCAGCAGCAGGCCCAUCAUCCCAAUGUCUCCUUCAGCUCGACCAUGUCCCGGAAUGCCGGCGCCAUCUACGUCAAUGGGAGCCACCUCAGCUACGACACGGCCAACAUGAAUGCCAAGAACAAUGCCAAGAUCGUGGUGGGCGCCUCCAAUGGUGGCUACUAUGUGCCGGUGGCCAGGCCAUCGCUCCUCGGUCCCGAGGCCAAAGUGUACAACGUGUUCUCCAAGGUCAGUGCCAGCCAGGCUCCGCCCAGCCUCAUUGUGCGACAGCCGCAAGUGCAGCUGCAGCCGGAGGCAGUGCCUCCCAUGCCCAUGCGACUCUCGGGAAGAUCGCGAGCUGCGGCCCAGGACUCCAAGAUGGGUGCUCUGAAGUCCGACGAUCUGGAUCUGAUAUUAGGCUCCAAGCUGAAAACUUCCGCCAAGCGACAGCGCAAUGCCAAGGCCAACAUCCUGCUGGAGGACCUCUUUGGCCAGUUGUCCAUGGACUCCGAUAGCGACGGGAAGUAUCCGCACACAGUGCCGCCCACGCAGCAGGCCAAGAGCGGGAAGACGUCGACCGGGGGCCACCGGGAGCGGGAGCGGGACCGGGAAAGGGAUCUCUUCGGGGAGAGCUUCCUGCCCAGGCCGGGAUUGCGGAAGAAGGCCACCCAGAGCAGUCUGGAGGUGAACAACGGCAGCCACGCGGACUCGCUUGAUAACUCCUCCUCGUCCUCCCCCUCAAUUGAUGAAGAAUGUCGCUUUUGGCCCAUAAGAGCUCCAAACACUCAGAAGGAGAAACACGCCGUGGCAGCCAGUUUCCCCUGGGAUGAGUCCAACAAGACGGAGGAUGAGAAGCUAACUGCUUGGAUGGUGGCCGAGAACGGUAACUUGGUUUUGGGUAGUCAUCAAGCGUAGAAGUCGAGAGCACUCCACUCCAAUUCAAUCCACAAAAAGUAGUUACCUAGCAAUCACCCUUUACCGAAUGGAUCAUUGCUGGAGAAUAAGUUCUGAGAAGAUCGACUUGCGAAAUGCCGUUGUACCUGAAACAGAAUGGAGUUAAUAUAAGUGCCUGUGUGGAUCUGCGUUUUUUUCGAACUGAAUCCAAGUCCAAAUCACCCAGCCACGGAGCCAUGGACUCAUCGAAUCGGCGUGUGGAGCUAGUCUAGUCUCGAUAUAAUGUUAUUGCUGUGAUACCACUAAGCUAAACAAACUAUUGUGUAAAGUAGCCUCUACGAACUUGAGUCUCGAGUGUAAGUUGUACUUUAAGCUACUAUACGAUAAUAUAAUCCGAGUGAGUUUUGAA